rnacentral:tRNA from 1 species
GCCGAGGUGGCGAAACUGGCAGACGCACCAGCCUUAGGAGCUGGCCCUCGUAAGAGGAUGAGGGUUCAAGUCCCUCCCUCGGCA